rnacentral:rRNA from 1 species
GUUGUGCGCUCUCAAGCUAUGUUGAGAGAGCAGCAAACGGCUCAGUAACACGUAGUUAACCUACCCUCAGGACAGGGAUACCCCCGGGAAACUGGGGAUAAUACCUGAUAGGCGGAAGCGCCUGGAAUGGUCUUCCACUGAAAGGGUGUUAAAAACAUGCUUUUAACACUGCCUGAGGAUGGGACUGCGACCGAUCAGGUUGUUGGUGGGGUAAUGGCCUACCAAGCCUAUAACCGGUACGGGCCCUGAGAGGGGGAGCCCGGAGAUGGGAACUGAGAAACGGUCCCAGGUCCUACGGGACGCAGCAGGCGCGAAACCUCCACAAUGCACGAAAGUGCGAUGGGGUUAUCCCGAGUGCUUUCCGAUGAGGAUGGCUUUUCCUCGGUGUAAAAAGGCGAGGGAAUAAAGGGGGGGCAAGACUGGUGUCAGCCGCCGCGGUAAUACCAGCUCCCUGAGUGGUAGGGAUGAUUAUUUGGCCCAAAACGUUCGUAGCCGGCUUGGCAAGUCUUCCGUUAAAUCCAGCGACUCAAUCGUUGGUCUGCGGAGGAUACUACUAGGCUAGAGGACGGGAGAGGUUGACGGUAUUCCCAGUGUAGGGGUGAAAUCCAAUAAUCCUGGGAGGACCACCAGUGGCGAAGGCGGUCAACGAGAACGUGCCUGACGGUGAUGGACGAAAGCUGGGGGAGCGAACCGGAUUAGACACCCGGGUAGUCCCAGCCGUAAACGAUGCGGG